GACGAACGCUGGCGGCGUGCUUAACACAUGCAAGUCGAACGGAAAGGCCCUGCUUUUGUGGGGUGCUCGAGUGGCGAACGGGUGAGUAACACGUGAGUAACCUGCCCUUGACUUUGGGAUAACUUCAGGAAACUGGGGCUAAUACCGGAUAGGAGCUCCUGCUGCAUGGUGGGGGUUGGAAAGUUUCGGCGGUUGGGGAUGGACUCGCGGCUUAUCAGCUUGUUGGUGGGGUAGUGGCUUACCAAGGCUUUGACGGGUAGCCGGCCUGAGAGGGUGACCGGCCACAUUGGGACUGAGAUACGGCCCAGACUCCUACAGGAGGCAGCAGUGGGGAAUAUUGCACAAUGGGCGGAAGCCUGAUGCAGCAACGCCGCGUGCGGGAUGACGGCCCUCGGGUUGUAAACCGCUUUCGCCUGUGACGAAGCGUGAGUGACGGUAAUGGGUAAAGAAGCACCGGCUAACUACGUG
rnacentral:rRNA from 1 species